UUAGGAAUUGAAUUACUACAAAUAAAAUAUAAACCUGGAGUAAACAUACAUACUUGCGUUUAGGCUAUUCAUAAUUUAUGGGAUUUUGUUUCUAUAUACACAUACUCUACCAUAGAUACAAGAAUUGGAACCUUACAUAGAACUACAAAUCUUUUGCAUUCUACAGAUGACAUUAAUAUGAAAUAGAAAUAGGGGAUUUACUUUCACAACAAAGAGUAAUUCAAUACUUUGAAUCCUCUGUAAGUCUUACUAAAAGAGAGCCGAUUGUUAUUUCGAACUAAAGGUAUUUAUCGAUAAUUUAUCCUAUAUUUAAGAGUACAAUGACAGUCUAGAGAGAACAUGGAACAUCAAAAUCAACGAAUUAUUUAUCAGAACGGAUCUAUAAAAAUCUAUUUAAAAAUUAUCAUUUUGGUUAAGUAAAAGUAUCUUAAAUAUUUUUUUUUAUGAAAUUGUAGCGAUAAUUGUUACUUUAAAGAAAUUCAUAUAUAAAUUAAAGCUUUUAAACUCAAAAUAUAAUGAACAAAAUUCGAACUUUAGUACUCCAUAACAAACAAUUCCAG
rnacentral:lncRNA from 1 species